rnacentral:rRNA from 1 species
UAAGGAAUAUUGGUCAAUGGACGCAAGUCUGAACCAGCCAUGCCGCGUGGAGGAUGAAGGUCCUCUGGAUUGUAAACUUCUUUUAUCUGAGAAGAAACCCUUGUAUUCUUACGAGGUUGACGGUACCAGAUGAAUAAGCACCGGCUAACUCCGUGCCAGCAGCCGCGGUAAUACGGAGGGUGCAAGCGUUAUCCGGAUUCACUGGGUUUAAAGGGUGCGUAGGUGGGCUGGUAAGUCCGUGGUGAAAUCUCCAAGCUUAACUUGGAAACUGCCGUGGAUACUAUUAGUCUUGAAUCUCGUGGAGGUAAGCGGAAUAUGUCAUGUAGCGGUGAAAUGCUUAGAUAUGACAUAGAACACCGAUAGCGAAGGCAGCUUGCUACACGAGUAUUGACACUGAGGCACGAAAGCGUGGGGAUCAAACAG